rnacentral:rRNA from 1 species
UCCUACGGGGGGCAGCAGUCGAGAAUCUUCGGCAAUGGGCGCAAGCCUGACCGAGCGACGCCGCGUGGAGGAUGAAGGCCUUCGGGUUGUAAACUCCUGUUGGGGGGGAACAAAAACUGAGUGAACCCCUGAGGAAGCACGGGCUAAGUUCGUGCCAGCAGCCGCGGUAAGACGAACCGUGCGAACGUUAUUCGGAAUCACUGGGCUUAAAGCGUGCGUAGGCGGCAUUGUAAGUUAGGGGUGAAAUCCCAUCGGCUCAACCGUGGAACUGCCUUUAAUACUGCAAUGCUUGAGGGAGGUAGGGGAAUGUGGAACUUCCAGUGGAGCGGUGAAAUGUGUUGAGAUUGGAAGGAACGCCAGUGGCGAAAGCGACAUUCUGGAUCUCUUCUGACGCUGAGGCACGAAAGCUAGGGUAGCGAACGGGAUUAGAUACCCCGGUAGUCA